rnacentral:rRNA from 2 species
AAUUUUUAAUAACGGAUCUCUUAAUUCUAAUAUUAAUAAAGAACGUAGCGAAAUAUAAUAAAUAAUAUAAAUUAUAGAAUUUAGUAAAUUAUCGAAUUUUUAAACGUAUAUUACGCUCGCUAAUAUUCUAACGAAUAUAUUUAUUCGAACGUUA